UUAACACAUGCAAGUCGAACGAUGAACCACUUCGGUGGGGAUUAGUGGCGAACGGGUGAGUAACACGUGGGCAAUCUGCCCUGCACUCUGGGACAAGCCCUGGAAACGGGGUCUAAUACCGGAUACUGACCCGCCUGGGCAUCCAGGCGGUUCGAAAGCUCCGGCGGUGCAGGAUGAGCCCGCGGCCUAUCAGCUUGUUGGUGAGGUAACGGCUCACCAAGGCGACGACGGGUAGCCGGCCUGAGAGGGCGACCGGCCACACUGGGACUGAGACACGGCCCAGACUCCUACGGGAGGCAGCAGUGGGGAAUAUUGCACAAUGGGCGCAAGCCUGAUGCAGCGACGCCGCGUGAGGGAUGACGGCCUUCGGGUUGUAAACCUCUUUCAGCAGGGAAGAAGCGCAAGUGACGGUACCUGCAGAAGAAGCGCCGGCUAACUACGUGCCAGCAGCCGCGGUAAUACGUAGGGCGCGAGCGUUGUCCGGAAUUAUUGGGCGUAAAGAGCUCGUAGGCGGCUUGUCGCGUCGGUUGU
rnacentral:rRNA from 2 species